UACGAAGGGGACUAGCGUUGUUCGGAAUUACUGGGCGUAAAGCGCACGUAGGCGGAUUUGUAAGUCAGGGGUGAAAUCCCGAGGCUCAACCUCGGAACUGCCUUUGAUACUGCAAAUCUCGAGUCCGGAAGAGGUGAGUGGAAUUCCUAGUGUAGAGGUGAAAUUCGUAGAUAUUAGGAAGAACACCAGUGGCGAAGGCGGCUCACUGGUCCGGUACUGACGCUGAGGUGCGAAAGCGUGGGGAGCAAACAAG
rnacentral:rRNA from 1 species